GCAGGCGGGGCGGGGGUUCUUCGCUGCAGCUCCACCCCCGCCGCCCCCCAGGAUCACAAAAGCAUAGCCAGGUUGCCCGUGGUGGCAAAGUGUGAGGUGACAAGGAAUCGAGGCCAGCAGCCACAGCACGCGUCAGCUCUCAGGUGCGCGUCGUAAAAGACUUGGGCUGCGAGAACUACAAAUCAUCCGGAAUCAACCAUGGCCAAUUUGAAUUUUUCUCCCUUAGCUCAGAACCCUGUUGGGAAAGAGAUAGUUGAAACUAACAGGGAGAUUGCCUGCCUAAAACACAGUUCCAAAACAGAAUCUUAGCCUUAAGAUGUCCUAGACUCCAACUAAUGCACGGACAGAUGAAUCCACUAUAUUGUUAAGUCUGAGUCUGAGAGCCAUAAUGUGGGAGGACAUGACACAGCAAAUGGAGAACUGGCAGCAUUUCUUCUUAGGAAUCACAUCUAUGAGUGGAGCCGGAGCAGCAUUCAUCAAACCUUCCCUUCACAGCACUGCAUACAGCUCUGCAAAUUCCCCUCAUGCCUCUCAGCCACAGAAUGUCCUCUUGUGCAUGUGGCUCUGAGGGGAAGGACCCAGAGCAGGUGCAGCCUUCCCGGGACUGGUGGCCCAAGGCUGCCGCUGAGGGCAGCGUGGACUUCUCUACCCUUGGUGGAAAGGUUGCUGAGCUGUUACAACUCAGAUGUCACUGCUGGUGCACAGCUGGUGUUUUCACCCACACUUGACAGCAGCUUCUGGGGAGAGUGGAGAAGGAAAUCUGCAGGAUGCAGAUGGAGGCAAAUCUGGGAAGGGGGAGAGCGUUUCAUUCCUUCAGCUCAGGAAGGACGGGAUGACCAAUUUCUCCUACACACUGUCCUAUUCCUUCACCUGUAAGUAAGGAGUUGGAAGUGGGGCACCGGUGGGAAUGGCACCAGUGGGGGUUGGGGUAGGGAUGAGGGCAUGGCACUGGCAGGGAGUGGCAGGGGGAGGGAGAAUUGGAGGACAGGGCACCAGCAGGGAGGGGCACCCGCAGGGGCAGGGCCUCUGGCUGGGUGCAGUGUUGAGGACAAGAGCUCAGUCUGUCCCCCAGCCUCUUGUUUGAGCUCCACCUCCCUCACCCAACUCCUACCUGUACCUCUGGAUCAUAAUGGUGGCCCACUUCCCAUCCCCUGCAGCCCUAUUCUUUCAAUCACUGCCCCUAACUCACUCCUUAUCCUAAAGACAGCUCCUCUCUGGAAACUUCCGGACAUUCUGAUUCCUUGUCCAUCCCAACCCAGCUCCCCAACCCUCAUGUACACUUUCUGGGUUGCCACUCACCUCCAAUUCCCAGUUUCUAACUGGAGAGAUUAUUUUUUUACAUCUUUUUUCCAGAGAUGUUUUAAAAUAAGGGAACAAGCUACAAUUAGUAGAUUCUCUUUAUCAUUUCCUUGUAUUAGUAACAAUUGUAGAAUAAAGUUUUAAAAGUCAUUAGAAUAGACAGAAUAGAGUGACUACAUCCCUAAGAAAAUGUGAAGCCCUUUCCCACUCUAAGCUGUAGAGGUCAGACUUGACUGCAAGACUUGAUUUGUGCUCUUGGUCCUCAUAAGGCAUCCACCCCUCCCCCCAUGACCUUCCCAACCUCAUUCCACCCUCCCCACAACUCUGUGGACACCAGAAGUCCUUCAGGGCCCUGGUCACACCAGAGUGAAGUUUCUUGUGGCCUGAGUAUGUCCUCUCAGCUUCCUCCAAGUCUCUUUGAGAAACACAGCCUUUUGGGAUUUGUGUGUGUGCCCAAAUAUUUAAUGUUCCUACUGGAUAGUCUUUAUUAUUUUCUCUAGAUGUAAAUGACACAGAUUUAACUCCUGUGCCAGAAUCUUCUGUGGCUUCAAGAAAAGACAACUCAUAUGUUCAUCUCAGCACAAACUUUGAGCUCCAGAUUGUUUUUGUGAAAAAUCAGAGCAUUUUAGUCUUUUGGAUUAACCUGUUUCUAACAUCCCAUUUGUCUUGCUCAGCUCUAGCUGCAAUAACAAAACACCAUAGACUGGCUAACUGCAACAACAGACAUUUAUUUCUCACAGUUCUGGGGGCUAGGAAAUCCAAGAACAAGGUGCUGGCAGAUUCAAUGUCCAGUGAGAACGUUCUUCCUGGCUUACUGAUGGCCACCUUCUCCUCUGUCCUCACAUGGCCCUUCCUUCAUGUGUGCAUUCCCAGAAAGAGGAAGCACCCUCAAGGUCUCUCAUCAUCAUCUAAUAUGGACACUAAAUCAUGGGGGCUCUUCCCCCAUGACCUAAUCUAAACUUAAUUGCCACCCAAAGGCCCCACCUCCAAAUACCAUCACAUUGGGGAUUAGGGCUUCAACACAUGAAUUUGGGGGGGACUCAUAACAAUGUUAUUUUUCUUUCUUCAGUGAUAAUGAUUCUAGAGAGUAUCCAAUAAGGAUUAAACUUAGAAUCAAAAUGACACAGACUUCACUCUUAUAUGAGAUUCUUUGUAGGCUUCAAGAAAAGAUAGUUCAAACAUUCAUCUGUCACUGUUUCCAAAUUUGAAUAAAUGUUUACAUGCAAACGUGGAACUGGACAUUUUGAAACAUAUAAUAAGGCAAGAAAAAUCUUGCAUGUGUUUUAUGUAUACAAUUUGAUGAGUUUGGACAUAUGUAUACACCCAUGAUACUAUCACCACAAACAAGGUAAUAAACAGAUCCAUC